UACCGCGGGAGCCCAUCGCAAUGGGCUGAGAGGACGGCUGCGGCCGCCGACCGUUCGAACCUGUCCGGGUCAUGCCGGCGUAGGGAGGC
rnacentral:ncRNA from 1 species